GAGGUAGUGACAAUAAAUCACAAUGCGGAACUAUUAGUUUUGCAAUUGGAUUGAGGACAAUGUACAAAUGUUAUCGAUAAACAAUUGGAGGGCAAGUCUGGUGCCAGCAGCCGCGGUAAUUCCAGCUCCAAUAGCGUAUAUUAACGUUGUUGCAGUUAAAAAGCUCGUAGUUGAAUUGAAGUGAACUUGGGUUGAUGUGAUCUUCGGAUGACAUGAAUCAAAGUUGACUCUUUCCAAAGUCAAUACAUUGGUAUUCAUUUAUCUUUGUAUUGUGUUUGGUCAUUUACUGUGAGAAAAUUAGAGUGUUCAAAGCAGACGUUUGUUUGAAUACAUUAGCAUGGAAUAAUCAUAUAUGGCUUUCAUGUUGAUUUGAUUGGUUUGAAUAUGGAAGCAAGAUUAAAAGGGACAGUUGGGGGUAUUCAUAUUCAAUAGUCAGAGGUGAAAUUCUGGGAUUUAUGGAAGAUGAACAAGUGCGAAAGCA
rnacentral:rRNA from 1 species